rnacentral:rRNA from 1 species
GGGAAAGGGAAACAUGCAAGCAAGAGUUGGAUGUCUUGUCUUCUCUUUUGGAUGUCGGUGGUGUGUGUGGGGAGGAGGUUAAGGAAGUUGAGAGUUGGCAAAGUUCAAGAGUUCUAUACAUCUUCACACAGAACUAGAUGAAAAGGUUAGGGUGGUGAACAGGACGGGAGAGGGAAGAGAAAGAGAUGUCUUUGAGAGAGAGAGGUUUCUUUGUCACAAGGUACCUGCACCCAGGAGUUAAGACUACUUCCUCUGGUAGGGGCAGGUAGGUCAACGCAGUUUUCCAAGAGGAAGUACGCAAUUUAGGUAAGUCCCUUCUUUCUUGCGCUAGGCAAGUGGUGUGUGCGUCUUAAAGCGUACAGGCAGAUGUGACAAGCAGCUCAAGAAGCGCAGCAAGACAGUUUGAGCCCUCACUGCUGCUACAACGUGUACCUGUGUUUGUCCAAUGGCUUCUUCCUGAGUUGUUGCUUCUCAAUGGACCUCUGCUUCUACUACUGAUACUGAUGAUACCGCUAGACAUCUUCACUCCAGUGCACCUGAUGUAGCUGACGGACACCGACUCUACUUCAGCGAUGUGUAACAUGAAAGGCG